ensembl:lncRNA
AUCAAAUCAAAUCAAAUUUAUUUAUAUAGCCCUUCGUACAUCAGCUGAUAUCUCAAAGUGCUGUACAGAAACCCAGCCCAAAACCCCAAACAGCAAGCAAUGCAGGUGUAGAAGCACGGUGGCUAGGAAAAACUCCCUAGAAAGGCCAAAACCUAGGAAGAAACCUAGAGAGGAACCAGGCUAUGUGGGGUGGCCAGUCCUCUUCUGGCUGUGCCGGGUGGAGAUUAUAACAGAACAUGGCCAAGAUGUUCAAAUGUUCAUAAAUGACCAGCAUGGUCGAAUAAUAAUAAGGCAGAACAGUUGAAACUGGAGCAGCAGCACAGUCAGGUGGAAGUUGAAACUGGAGCAGCAGCAUGGCCAGGUGGACAGGGGACAGCAAGGAGUCAUCAUGUCAGGUAGUCCUGGGGCAUGGUCCUAGGGCUCAGGUCCUCCGAGAGAGAGAAAGAAAGAGAGAAGGAGAGAAUUAGAGAACGCACACUUAGAUUCACACAGG